UACGUAGGGUGCAAGCGUUGUCCGGAAUUAUUGGGCGUAAAGGGCUCGUAGGCGGCUUUGCAAGUCGGAUGUGAAAUCCCUCGGCUUAACCAAGGAAGUGCAUCCGAAACUGCAGAGCUUGAGUACUUAAGAGGAUCGCGGAAUUCCCGGUGUAGAGGUGAAAUUCGUAGAUAUCGGGAGGAACACCAGUGGCGAAGGCGGCGAUCUGGGAAGAUACUGACGCUGAGGUGCGAAAGCGUGGGGAGCAAACAGG
rnacentral:rRNA from 1 species